rnacentral:lncRNA from 1 species
AGUCUUGGAGCUCCUGGUUUUCCGUGCGGACCUGUGGCUGCAGCCUAUGGGUGAGGAGAGGAGACAGACUUACCUCAUGCGAUGACUCAACUCAACCUUUUUUUAAUUUAUUUAUUUAUUUAUUUAUUUAUUUAUUUUGAGACGGAAUCAUGCUCUGUCGCCCAGGCUGGAGUGCAGAGGCGCGAUCUCGGCUCACUGCAACCUCCGCCUCCGGGUUCAAGCGAUUCCUCUGCCUCAGCCUCCCGGGUAGCUGGGACUGCAGGCGCGCGCCACCACGCCCAUCUAAUUUUUGUAUUUUUAGUAGAGACGGGGUUUCACCAUGUUGUCCAGGAUAGUCUUGAUCUCUUGACCUCGUGAUCUGCCAGCCUCAACCUCCCAAAGUGCUGGGAUUAUAGGCGUGAGCCACCGUGCCCGGCCAGCUGAACCUUUUUAAAGGCCCUGGUACCUGCGGAAGCCAAGAUGUGCCAAUUUUCAGCGGGCGCUGCCCCCACUUUAACAGGGCAGAGCCAGAGCGGCCGCCCUGGUGGCCUGGAGCCGCACACUCGCGCUGGCCUAAUGUCGCUCCCCGCCCCCCCCCCUUUUUUUUUUUUGAGAUGGAGUCUCGCUCUGUCGCCCAGGCUGGAGUGCAGUGACGCGAUCUCGGCUCACUGCAGCCUCCGCCUCCCGGGUUCAAGCGAUUCUCCUGCCUCAGCCUCCUGAAUAGCUGGGAUUACAAUCGCGCGCCACCACGCCCGGCUAUUUUUUGUAUUUUUAGUAGAGAGAGGGCUUCACCCUGUUGGCCAGGCUGGUCUCGAACUCCUGACCUCAGGUGAUCCGCCCGCCUCGGCCUCCCAAAGUGCUAGGGUUACAGGCGUGAGCCACCGUGCCCAGCCAGUGCCCCAUUUUUGAAGGUUGAAGAGACUACUUCCCCUAUUUGGGAUACAGUUGGUGCGGGGAAAGCAGAACGGGUGUGUCCAGGGACAGGCCAUAAUUCACCCUCACAGGAUAAAGUCUAAAGAAAGGACGAGUUGGGCGGGGCGUGGUGGCUCACGCCUGUAAUCUCAGCACUUUGAGAGGCCGAGGCGGGCGGAGAUCGAGACCAUCCUGGCUAACACCGUGAAACUCCGUCUCUACUAAAAAUACAAAAUUUAGCCGGGCGUGGUGGCACGCACCUGUAGUCCCAGCUACUCGGGAGGCUGAGGCAGGAGAAUCGCUUGAACCCGGGAGGCGGAGGUUGCAGUGAGCCGAGAUCCCGCCAUUGCACUCCAGCCUGGGGACCAAGAGCCAGACUCCAUCUCAAAAAAAAUAAAAAGGCCGGGUGCGGUGGUUCACGCCUGUAAUCCCAGCACUUUGGGAGGCCUAGGCGGGUGGAUCACGAGGUCAGAAGAUCGAGACUAUUCUGGCUAACACGAUGAAACUCCGUCUCUACUAAAAAAAAAUACAAAACAAUUAGCCGGGCGUGGUGGCGGGCCCCUGUAGUCCCAGCUACUCGGGAGGCUGAGGCAGGAGAAUGGUGUGAACCCGGGAGGUGGAGCUUGCAGUGAGCUGAGAUCACGCCACUGCACUGAGGGUUCUGUGAGAGUCAGUAAAGGUUAAAGCCAUUUAUAUGUGUAUGGUCCAACCAUACACAAUCGGCCCUCCAUAUCCGCAUGUCCCACCUUUGGAGAUUGAACGAAGAGCGGGUUGAAAAUACAGUGUUGAGGUAUGGUGGCUCACACCUGUAAUCUCGCACUUCAGGAAUCCAAGCAGGAGGAUCGCUUCAGGCCAGGAGUUCAAGACCAGCCUGGGCAGCAUAGAGACCUCCUUUCUACUAAAAAUUUGGGGGAAAAAAAAAAUUAGCUGGGCCUCGGGGCCCGCACCUGUAGUCCCACCUACUCAGGAGGCUGAGGCAGAGGGAUCGCUUAAACCCAGGAGGUCGAGGCUGAGUGAGCUAUAAUCCCUCCACUGCACUCCAGCUUGGGUGACAGAGACCCUGUCUC